rnacentral:lncRNA from 1 species
AGAGCCGGUGCACCGACAGAGCCUGGUAUUGGCUUUGGGUCCGUGAAACACCACGGAUGCUCACAAACCCCGCGACCCGUCAACCAUCUUGACUCAAGGACCCCCCCCCACGCCCACCCCGAAUGCGGAGGGACCGGCGGGCUGGAAUCCACGACCGGCGAGUCUGCCCUCGCCUGCACACUGCAGCCUCAGCCUGGAGAGCCCCGGCACGCACCCCCGCCCCCCGCCCCCGCCCCGCCCCGUCGCGGGUCUUUUACCUUGUGGCCUUUCCCUGGGGGACACCUGACGUUGUUGGAGGCUCCCGCUGUUUGAUUCAUGUCCGGAGGAAGUUGGGGGGCCCGAUUCUCGGCCUUCAAAACUUCCUUCGCGCGUGGAGGGUGGCAAGGUGCGCGUCUCGGGGAGGCCAGGUGGGUCCUCCCUCUCCAGCCACGGCCGGGCGAGCGGAAGCCGGUUCCUCACGCCGCAGGUUUCGGCGGGGCUCCUCGCCCAGGGAUGACAGCCCGCAGCCCGGUGCUGAGGAAGGAGAAGCUGCGGCUGGGACCCCGGAGGGAGCCCGGGCGGCAGCAGCGGCUUCCAGGGCGCUCUGCCCAGCGCUGCCUUCCUGGGAAACAGUCCAGACUCUCAGGACCAGAAGCCCGAGCAAAUCGGAAAGGAGCUCCGAGGAGGGGCCAAGGAGCCCUCCACACCCUCAAAGGCUCAGGCUGGAGCCGUCAUCAGCGCAGAGCAGGCACCCCUCUCGCCUUGCAGCGGUCAUGAUCUAAUUAGUCAGCUUUCGGAUAGAGGUGGAAAACUGACCCUUGGGAACUAAGAAAAACAAAUCAAGAAAGAGCAACUGCUCCGUGAAGACUGCAUUGCAACAUUCUAGAAUUACAAGUCUGAGUGGUGGACCAGCAGCACAUUAGAAUACAGCCUUGGAGUUUAGCUAAAUGUUUUUUUCUAGAUUCCUGCAGGUAGAGAUGGCAGAGUUUGAAUAUUCUGGGUGGAAAAUCAAACCACACAACUCGGUUUCUGUUUCCAGAUCGCUCAUCCUUCGGUUCAUCAUCUGUAAAGUGAAGGAAGAUAUUGGCUUCCCCGGUGAGAACCGGAGCUGCGGUUCCUCCUCAGUCACGUUGGGGAACAGCACGUCCCCAUGGGUGCCCCUUUAGAGUAAAAAGGAGAUUUCCUUCUCAGGGGUCUGCCGAUGCUCACUGUCAUCUCCCUAGCCAUGGCUGACCUCCAACUACAGGAAGUGACUGUGAUGAGGCCCAGCUGUCAUGCUUUGGAAUCCAUCACGGUGUGUGCCGAGGUCGCGCCUCCCUCCUCCCGGCCAGUAAUGGAGUGUGGCAGGCUGGUAACAAAGGCCUGCUCUUAGGAGAUGUGGGAGCUCCCUGAUGGCCAACUUUCAUUCAAGGACUGCCUGCAGAAAGAGUAUUCCGUGGGCCACACAGUGACUCAGAGAUCCAGCCAGUCUUCACUUGGCAGCUCUGUCAUCUCAACGUGUGGCUUCCAUCACCACAGCUGGAAAACCAAAAGCCAGAGGUCUGCACAGGGCUUUUCCUUCCUUGUAGAGGGGAGUUUUCAUCUCUGCUCAGAUGAGAGAAGGCUUUGCCUUGAGGAUAGAGGAGGAUUUUGAAGGAUAAGGAAAGUGGUUCAGGUUAUGACAAGCCAUCAGCAUCAUUUAAGUAAAGGUAAACCAGACAGGUCAGUCUUGUUCCAGCAAAACGGUUACAUAGAGAAAAAGCAGAUUGGAUCUUUGAAUGCUUGACUACGGAGCUUGGACUCAAUCUCACGGUUAAUAGGCAGGAAUUGGUUCAAUAGCCGCUAGUUCUUAGCGGGAAGGAAGAGUGUGCUAUUUGGAUUCUAUAGAACCAAUUUCACUCUCCAUUUGUAUUUGCAGAUUCAGCUUCAAGACCAUUUUCUCAUGUUCUAAAAGUUCAAAAGCAAGCACUCAGGAGAGAGUUGGCUAUGCGUUCCUGCCUUGGGUUUUCUAAGACUAACCACCUGGUGAAUUCCGCAAUCCUGUUAAAUGAUGCUCCUGAACCGAGGAGGACACAGGCAAGCCAAAGGCAGAAUGACUGUCUCCAUGAGUGAUGAGAGAGCUGCAGACCUGAUAGGCAGAUAGAGCAUUAUUAAUAGACCAGGGGUUGGUGCUGGCUAUCACCUGAGCUGCCCAGGCUCUUCUUGUGUGGCAUAAGGGACUUUCUGCCAUCAUUUGGAUUUGGAACGGUGGACGAACAUCUCCAGUAACACUGUCCAGACAAUAUAUAAAGUUGAAAAUUUACCAAAUACAGCAUAUUUAAAGGAGCUUUAUCUUUCAAAACAAUAUGCAUACAUUUUAAAGGCAAAUAAAUGAAUAUAAUACCAGU